rnacentral:rRNA from 1 species
UACGUAGGGAGCGAGCGUUGUCCGGAUUUACUGGGUGUAAAGGGAGCGCAGGCGGCGUGGCAAGUCAGAUGUGAAAACCCGGGGCCCAACCCCGGGAGUGCAUUUGAAACUGCCAUGCUGGAGUGCCGGAGAGGUAAGCGGAAUUCCUAGUGUAGCGGUGAAAUGCGUAGAUAUUAGGAGGAACACCAGUGGCGGAGGCGGCCUGCUGGACGACAACUGACGGUGAGGCGCGAAAGCGUGGGGAGCAAACAGG